UGCAAUGCCCAAGAAGCAGCCUCCAGUCCAGCUCUCAGAGAUGGGGUCAGCUGCUCUCCUGCUGUGGGGACUGCUGCUGUGGGUGUCAGGUUCCACUAGUGGCAUUGUGCUGACCCAGUCUCUAGCCACAUUGGCUUCGUUCUCUAGGGCAGAGAUACACUUUCACUGCAGUGCCACUGAAUGUGUGAAUUCAUUUAACUGCAGUUUUAUGCGGCACUAUCAACAGAAACCAGGAAAUCCCUCGAACCUCUUCAUGUAUGCAGCAUCCAACCUAGCAUCUGAGAUUCCUGCCAGGUUCAGUGGCAGUGGGUCUUGGACAGACUUCAGCCUCACCAUCCAUCCUGUGGAGGCUGAUGAUGCUGCAACCUAUUACUGUCAGCAGAGUAGAGAGUUUCCUCCCACAAUGCUCCAGGGCUAA